AACUGGUUAGCUUAGUUGGUAGAGCGCUCCACUUGUUAUGAACAGGUCCCGGGUUCGAUGCCCGGACCAGGCG
rnacentral:tRNA from 1 species